GCUGUUUAACCGUUGAUUAGUGACGUGGUUAACGAUAGGGCAAAUUUUCUGGUAAAGGAAGGCCAUACUCCGAGUGGCAGUCAGGUUAAUAGCAAGGGUGAGGAGGAUAGAAACUAUGGGCUGCCUCAACCUGCUUGGUUCUGGUCCUGGGAACAGUCAGAAAGCACGCCCUAGAGGACCAUAGAUGUCUGGAUGUCUCAUAACAGACUCAAAGAGCAUACAGCUGUUCAAACAGGUAGCGUGGAAACAUCGGAGCUGUGUUUAAGUUGAUCAGACUGCAGGGACAAAAAUGUGGAGGUCGAUGUGUUGUCUUUGUGUCUGUUUGUGCGUACACUCAGCCGUGACUGUGGCCCUGGGAAAAAAAAGACACAACAUCCCUUUCUGUCUACUGUGUGAACAGGAUUCAGAGGGAGGUUUCCUAUCAUCAAGGCAUGGACUCUGCAUGGGACGCUGCAGGAAAAAACAGCUGACAGUCUCUGGAAUGCUCCUGGACGUACGAGGUUAACUGGGAUUUAACCUUUACAUGGUGGGAGGGGAGUGCUGCUAAAACACAGCAGCGACCUCUGACUGGACUGUCGUCAUUAGACAAUGAAAGAACAAGUUAGUCAUCUUGUUGAGAUAAGUCCAGCGUAAAACAGCAUCAAAACAUGAUUUUUAGGAAAUAGUUCAAACUUGUUUAUCAAGACAAAAUGAGAACAUUUCAGCGAUUGUGAUUCUAGGAAAAACAGCUUUUACCUGAUUAUCAGGCAUUACACUGAACAUCUUUGGUCUUAACUGAAACUGUGACAAAACAUUUUAAUUAUAAUAAAUGUCAGAAGUUAAUCACCCAUAA